GAACGCYGAAACCAAAUGCUUGCAUUUGGUGGGAUGAGUGGCGAACGGGUGAGUHACACGUGGGUGAUCUGCCCUACACUUUGGGAUAAGCCUGGGAAACUGGGUCUAAUACCGAAUAUUCACACUACCGUAGGGMUGGGUGUGGAAAGCUUUAUGCGGUGUGGGAUGAGCCUGCGGCCUAUCABCUUGUUGGUGGGGUAAUGGCCUACCAAGGCGUCGACGGGUAGCCGGCCUGAGAGGGUGUACGGCCACAUUGGGACUGAGACACGGCCCAGACUCCUACGGGAGGCAGCAGHYGGGAAUAUUGCACAAUGGGCGCAACCUGAUGCAGCGACGCCGCGUGGGGGAUGAAGGCCUUCGGGUUGUAAACUCCUUUCGCUAGGGACGAAGCCUUUUUGGUGACGGUACCUGGAGAAGAAGCACCGGCUAACUACGUGCMAGCAGCCGCGGUAAUACGUAGGGUGCGAGCUUUGUCCGGAAUUACUGGGCGUAAAGAGCUCGUAGGUGSGUUUGUCGCGUCGUCUGUAAAAUCCCGGGGCUUAACUUCGGGCGUGCAGGCGAUACGGGCAUAACUUGAGUCCUGUAGGGGAGACUGGAAUUCCUGGUGUAGCGGUGAAAUGCGCAGAUAUCAGGAGGAA
rnacentral:rRNA from 1 species